UACGAAGGGGGCUAGCGUUGUUCGGAAUUACUGGGCGUAAAGCGCACGUAGGCGGAUUGUUAAGUCGGGGGUGAAAUCCUGAGGCUCAACCUCAGAACUGCCUUCGAUACUGGCGAUCUUGAGUUCGGAAGAGGUUGGUGGAACAGCUAGUGUAGGGGUGAAAUUCGUAGAUAUUAGCUAGAACACCAGUGGCGAAGGCGGCCAACUGGUCCGAUACUGACGCUGAGGUGCGAAAGCGUGGGGAGCAAACAGG
rnacentral:rRNA from 1 species